rnacentral:tmRNA from 1 species
GGGGGUGUCCUGGCUUCGACGGGGGUAGUGCGAUUGCUUGGUGCAUGCCGAGGAGGCGACUUCCCUCGUUAAUCCAGUUGCAAAACAUAUAGUUGCCAAAAACAACUUGAACACUGUGGCUGCAAACGAUAGCGAUUUCCACAUGGCGAUCGCUGCCUAAGAAGCCUUCGGCCCCAUAAAGGCCCAGUCCCGAACCGGUCUUGUGCUCAUGCUCGCCGGUGUAGGGUCAUUAUCAUGAGAUCGCCCGAAGACCGCCGCCUGCCGGUCCAGAGCUAAAUCUAGCGGGUUUGUCCAUCGAUGCGUUUUGCACAUCGUACUGUCGGCGGACGAAAUUCAACGGUGAGCUAAGCAUGUAGAACUGGGAAUCAAACAUCUUCGGACGCGGGUUCGACUCCCGCCACCUCCACCA